UUCAUAUCAAAUGUAUGGAAAUAGAAGCAUGUAGCAGCUCGGUGAAGGUUCCAUUGUCAAUAGUUUUUUGUCAGGUGUUUGACCAUUCUUAUCAAGUUUAUUUAGAUCUUUAAGUAGGUAGGUGAGAUGCAAGAAAACCUUUUGUAUGUAACCGAUAAUACACUUCCCCUAAUUUAGAUAUUGAUUUUCAGAAUGUUUGUUUGCCAAGUGAAUCUAUAUAUUUGUAUGUACAUUGAAUGAUUUAUUUACAGCUGAAUGUUUUAGUCAAUCUUCUCCUGUAUCGGCAGCCAAACUAACCAACUGUUCUGGAAGCACACAAUAUUGUGUAACUUAUUUACAUAACUAUGUUAAUGGCUACAGGGAAACUACUAAAGGAUGUGCCAGCGCUAAUGAGUGUCAGACGUCUUUAAUAAAUACAGCAAGUGGUCAGUGUAGUGUAUUUAGCGAAGAUCAACUUUACACGUCUGACUUUAAAUGUACUUACUGUUGUACCAAAGACAAAUGUAAUGGAAGAAUAGUUCCUCCACACGAGACUAUGUACACGGGACACGUAACCUUACCUACACCGACUAAUACAACUACAACUGAGUGUUUAAUCAAGCCAUCACCAUCAUCACAGGAAAUAUUAAAGGACUGUUCCGGUUCGACACCCUACUGUAUCACACAUUUUGCUAACUACAACAACGGGUACAGGGAGACGACCAAAGGGUGUGCAAGUGGGGCAACUUGCGAUGCAACAAAAACCGGCAACAAAAAGUUUAAUGACCAGUGUACUUACUACGACGAGAAUUUUUUAUACAAGUCCGAUUUUACAUGUUCAUACUGCUGUACGAAAGAUAUAUGUAAUACUGGUAUAUUGCCUCCUCAUGAAACACUUUAUCAACCUUAAUAGAGUAAGCGUUAAUACGGGACUUAUUUAAAUAAGUAAAUAAAAGAAAAACACUUCAUAUAUUUUUAUUAGAAUAAACGAAAUGAAUUGAAA